ensembl:rRNA 5S_rRNA 5S ribosomal RNA
CAUGGCCAUACCACCCUGAAUGCACCCAAGCUCGUCUGAUCUCAGAAGCUAAGCAGGGUUGGGCCUGGUUAGUACUUGGAUGGGAGAAGUUUGAAACCAGACUACGCAACAUGU